AUCCCUCAAAUCCCAAUGUUUUGCAAAACUCAUUGCUUGGAUUUGGUCGUGGGCCUUUUAUUGCUGCUUUACUGUCAGCUGGCCUUAAAGACAUUAGCUUGGACCUUCGAACCUUUUCAGAAGGCGCCUCCAUAUAGAUGUGAUAAAUUUACGUCGAUGGAUCAAAGGCCCUACUGUUGUCAAUGGUUUUUAAAAUGAACGGUCUGCUUCUAACCCGGCGAAGAGUUCCAUCUCUGACCCACCUUUUUCAUUAA
rnacentral:misc_RNA from 1 species